GGAGAAUUAGCUCAUCUGGGAGAGCAUCUGCAUUACAAGAAGAGGGUCGGCGGUUAGAACCCGUCAUUCUCCACCA
rnacentral:tRNA from 1 species